UGGGGAAUAUUGCACAAUGGGCGCAAGCCUGAUGCAGCAACGCCGCGUGAACGAUGAAGGUCUUCGGAUCGUAAAGUUCUGUUGCAGGGGAAGUUAGUGACGGUACCUGCACAAGAAGCCCCGGCUAACUACGUGCCAGCAGCCGCGGUAAUACGUAGGGGGCGAGCGUUAUCCGGAUUCAUUGGGCGUAAAGCGCGCGCAGGCGGCUCUUCAAGCGGAACCUCUAACCCCGGGGCUCAACCUCGGGCCGGGUUCCGAACUGGAGGGCUCGAGUGCGGUAGAGGCAGGCGGAAUUCCCGGUGUAGCGGUGGAAUGCGCAGAUAUCGGGAAGAACACCGAUGGCGAAGGCAGCCUGCUGGGCCGGCACUGACGCUGAGGCGCGAAAGCUAGGGGAGCGAACAGG
rnacentral:rRNA from 1 species